AUGCAGUCGAGCGGUAAGGCCCUUUCGGGGGUACACGAGCGGCGAACGGGUGAGUAACACGUGAGCAACCUGCCCUUCUCUUGGGGAUAACCAGUGGAAACGCUGGCUAAUACCCGAUAUGACUAUCUCACGCAUGUGGGGUGGUGGAAAGUUCUGGCGGAGGAGGAUGGGCUCGCGGCCUAUCAGCUUGUUGGUGAGGUAGUGGCUCACCAAGGCGACGACGGGUAGCCGGCCUGAGAGGGUGACCGGCCACACUGGGACUGAGACACGGCCCAGACUCCUACGGGAGGCAGCAGUGGGGAAUAUUGGACAAUGGGCGAAAGCCUGAUCCAGCAACGCCGCGUGAGGGAUGACGGCCUUCGGGUUGUAAACCUCUUUCAGCACCGACGAAGCGAGAGUGACGGUAGGUGCAGAAGAAGGACCGGCCAACUACGUGCCAGCAGCCGCGGUAAUACGUAGGGUCCGAGCGUUGUCCGGAAUUAUUGGGCGUAAAGGGCUCGUAGGCGGUUUGUCGCGUCGGGAGUGAAAACUCAGGGCUUAACUCUGAGCGUGCUUUCGAUACGGGCAGACUUGAGGGAUGCAGGGGAGAAUGGAAUUCCUGGUGUAGCGGUGGAAUGCGCAGAUAUCAGGAGGAACACCGGUGGCGAAGGCGGUUCUCUGGGCAUUUCCUGACGCUGAGGAGCGAAAGCAUGGGGAGCGAACAGGAUUAGAUACCCUGGUAGUCCAUGCCGUAAACGUUGGGCGCUAGGUGUGGGGACCUUCCACGGUUUCCGUGCCGCAGCUAACGCAUUAAGCGCCCCGCCUGGGGAGUACGGCCGCAAGGCUAAAACUCAAAGGAAUUGACGGGGGCCCGCACAAGCGGCGGAGCAUGCUGAUUAAUUCGAUGCAACGCGAAGAACCUUACCUGGGUUUGACAUAUGCCGGACGACUGCAAAGAUGUGGUUUCCCUUGUGGUCGGUAUACAGGUGGUGCAUGGCUGUCGUCAGCUCGUGUCGUGAAAUGUUGGGUUAAGUCCCGCACCGAGCGCACCCUCGUCCAUUGUUGCCACCCGGGAUGGGGGGACUCUUGGG
rnacentral:rRNA from 1 species